rnacentral:rRNA from 1 species
UACAGAGGUCUCAAGCGUUGUUCGGAUUCAUUGGGCGUAAAGGGUGCGUAGGCGGCGCGGUAAGUCGGGUGUGAAAUCUCGGAGCUUAACUCCGAAACUGCAUUCGAUACUGCCGUGCUUGAGGACUGGAGAGGAGACUGGAAUUUACGGUGUAGCGGUGAAAAUGCGUAGAUAUCGUAAGGAAGACCAGUGGCGAAGGCGGGUCUCUGGACAGUUCCUGACGCUGAGGCACGAAGGUCAGGGGAGCAAAACGGG